UCCUUUCUCAUAUAUAAUUGUCAAGAUUUUUGUUCAUCAAGCUAUACUUGUCAUACAGGUUGAUCAUCAAGACCACUCAUUUUCUAUCUACAACAAUAAUAAUAAAUAAAUAAAAAUAAAAAAACUAAACUAUUAAGUCACGAAUUCUCCAACAUUUCCUUCUCUCUUAUCAUAUUCACAUCUGCCUAUAAACAAGGCAUUCCACCCACAUUGCAAAUUAAAUUACUCUCUUCAAGAAAGAUCACAACAGAAGAAAACAAUAUGAAACUUAGCUUCUCUUACCUUUCCCUCCUACUUUUCUUCAUUGCCUUCCACUCCAUAACUGCAGCCAAUCUCAUCAUCCAAGAAACUUGCAGGAAAUGUGCCCAUAUUGAUCCUAACAUUCACUACAACUUCUGUGUAGCUUCCCUUCAAGCGUCUCCCGAUGCCCACUGCGCUAAUCUUCGCCAACUUGGCAUCAUCUCCCUCAAGAUAACUCGCCUCAACGUGACCGACACCGGGCACUAUAUUAAGGACCUCUUGAAGAGCAAAAGACUGGAUCCCAAACUCAGGGCUUGCUUAAAUGAUUGCCUCGAUCUUUAUUCAGAUGCCAUCCCCGCUCUGAAACAAGCCAUCAAAGACUAUAAUUCUAACCGUUAUGAAGAAGCCAAUAUUGUAGUGAGUUCAGUUACCGAUGCCUCCACGACCUGUGAAGAUGGAUUCAAAGAAAUAGGCAUAGUUUCACCAUUAACAGAAAGGAAUAACAAUACGUUCGAGUUGUCUGCUAUAGCGCUUUCGAUCAUCAAUAUGCUCCAUUAAUUUCCUAUUCUUCCCAUCAUUUGUCCUGUUUGGUUUUUUCUAGGUUAAUGGUUAUACGUCAGUUUCUAUAAACUUGGUUAGGUUCAUCAAUUAUGAAGUAAAUUUGUCUUCUUGUUCAUUACAGACUUACUCCUUUUUUUACACGACAAUAGGGUAGAAGCAUUAUAAAAUAGCCAUUUUGUGUUUUGAAGCAAAAUCUGAUCAGAGUAACUUCCAACUUAAUCUUGUCUAAUUCUUUAGAUUUAGCAGAAAAAUUUUGAAAAUUUGCAUUCUACAUCAUGAAAAAGUCAUUCAAAUCACAGAAAAGGGUGGAGAAAGCGGCAAAAAUGACAUUUAACAAUUGUAUUAAGAUUGAUCAUAGUUGAGAGGGCAUAGCAAGAGCAAAACCAGAAUAAAUAGAGACGUAUGGUUGGCACGUGAUACGACCAUCUGUGAGCAUAUAAGAAAAGUAAUACAUUUGGAUAAAUUCCACUGCACGAAAUGGACGUUCUCUGAUCUUAUUCCUAUUCAAGCUGAGGACGGGGAAAAAAACCCUAUCGUUGCAGCAAAAAAGAAAUUUGCUAAAGUGACUGCCACCACAACAGAGUCCACAAGUCCGUGAUAAAAUAGUAGAAAGGUUAACCAAAUCACACAUAUUGCCAUUUAAGUUCAAGGCUAUAAUCAUGUUCUAGAGCACUAAAAUUUGGGAUGAGGCCAGUGAAAGAAACUGUGCAUCAGGUUUUGUUUAGUGCAAAUGAUGAAAAAAAAAAAAAAAUAGAAAGUAAACAGUCGGGGGAGGACCAUAACAAGGUCAUGCAGUUUAACGAAUAAAUCUUUCUCCCAGACCCUAGGCUAAUUGUUUUUGAAAAGACAUGGUCUCUUGGUCAUUGCCAUGGUUACAGCACAGAAUUGCUCUUUGACUGUAUAACCAUAUGGCUAAGGCACGCCCCAAGUCUGCAAUCAAACCAAUCCACACAAGGAAGAAGGCGAGAGAAUUUGAGCAUUCUAACGUCGAUAAGAAUGGCAUGCAAUUAUGGGAGUUCCAAAGUAAAACUAAAAACAAAAUGAAAUCAUGUCUAGUUCUGUUGCCGCUACUCUGACCAAACAGAUUCACAUUAUUUUCCAACCCAUUACCAGGAUCAAAUCCAUACCAGACACCAAACAAGAACAAACAAGAAGAUCACAGCUUUCCUCAAAAUUCAAGGCAAGAAUCCCAUGCCUAAAUCAAGCAGCCAUCGGAUGGUUAUAAACAUACUCAAUAGCAAGAUUACAGGAGUCAAUCUUAACUGCUUCCUUGUCUGGAAUUUCCAGCUUGAACUCCUCUUCUAUAGCCAUUAUAAUCUCUACGUUGUCCAAGCUAUCCAAACCCAGAUCUUUCUGGAAAUGUACAUCUGGAGUCACCCUAGGUGGAUUGACUUUAGGGAAGCUCCUAACAACAUCAAGGACUCUGUCAAUGACCUGUUCCUUUGUGAGAUGAUGAUCAUGCGACGACAUUAACCGGAUAGAACUAGAGAAGCUCCAUGGCUGAGAUUUGAAUCCGGCUAGGGCCAGCGUUUCUACGGGUACCCGGAAAUGGUGACGGAGGGCUGCUCUCAUUGCCAUAUCUACCUUCCUCUUCUCAAUUUGGUUGAUUUGGGCAGUCGCAGUAAUAAACACCCAACUAGACCUGAUAACCGGCCGGUACCCGCGGCCUUGGCUUGAGCCGGGUUUAGACAAGGGUCAGGUGGUCUGGCGUGAGAUUGGCUGGCAACUGACGAGUCACGGACUAUACACUUGCCACUUUCAUCCUGUUGUCAGUUCAAUAAACGACUCGUCGUGAAAGUCAGUGGAUGGGUUGGGUCCAACCCAACACACGACCAAAGGACAAAGGUAAGAAGCUGUUCAAAAUCUCAUUUCUCUCGCACAAGGUCAGCUUACGUAAAGCCGUCAACACCUCUUCCUCUCCAAAAAAAUAAGUACACAUCCGAAUAUCGGAGGGGAUACUCCGAUUUGGCGAUCUCGAUUCUCCGCGAUCUAUCUAGGCGAGAUCUCGAUACGGAGAUAGAUCCCAACAAUGGCUCCAGUUUCAGCUCUGGCCAAGUACAAGCUAGUAUUCUUGGGCGAUCAGUCUGUGGGCAAAACUAGUAUCAUCACUCGCUUUAUGUACGACAAAUUCGACAACACCUAUCAGGCGACUAUUGGUAUCGAUUUUCUAUCAAAGACGAUGUACCUUGAAGAUCGAACUGUUAGAUUGCAGCUUUGGUGAGGUCUUAGUAUAAGUACUAUGCAGAUGCACGGGCAUAAAGUUACUUAUUUCCCCUUUUAAUGUUAUUGAACUUGUCCAUAUCCAAAAGCUAUUAUAGAAUGAUGAUAAAGAGAUUGGUAAAAGUUAUUUCUUCUUGAGAUAUCUGCUUCAUGUGUGUUUUGUGACAAACAAUCCUCAUAUAAGCAUUUGCAUGUGAAUGCAAUGGUGCUGCUAUUAUGCUAUGAAAUGUGAUACAUGCAUUGGCUAUCAGUUUCUUUGAUGAUAGUGAGUUCAUUUGCAAAAACAUAUUAUUUAUUUCAUUUGCCUUAAUAUCAGGAUCUCACCUCAAAUACAAAUCACAAUCAAAUGUACCGCAGGGACACUGCUGGACAGGAAAGGUUCAGAAGCCUCAUUCCAAGCUAUAUUAGGGAUUCCUCAGUGGCAGUUAUUGUUUAUGAUGUUGCAAGCAGGCAGUCAUUCCUGAACACUUCUAAGUGGAUUGAAGAGGUUCGCACUGAGCGGGGCAGUGAUGUUAUCAUUGUACUAGUUGGGAAUAAAACAGACCUUGUAGACAAAAGGCAAGUUUCAAUAGAGGAAGGAGAAGCCAAAGCUCGUGAUCUCAAUGUCAUUUUUAUUGAAACUAGUGCAAAGGCUGGCUUCAAUAUAAAGGCACUGUUUCGGAAGAUUGCAGCAGCCUUACCAGGAAUGGAAACACUUUCUUCAACUAAGCAAGAGGACAUGGUGGAUGUAAAUCUGAAGUCUUCCAACGCUAAUCAAUCAGUGCCUCAGCAACAGUCUGGAGGAUGUGCCUGUUGAUACACAAAAUUGAGAUCUAAGCUUUGGCAUUUUGGCAUUUUCAUCGCAUCCUUUUGUGAUCCUAAACAUGUAAAGUUUGUGUCAUCCCCCUUGUAGCAUAUGGUAUUUGACUGUUGUUUGUUUGUUGAGAGGUUUAACUUGUCAGGAGGAAACUAUAUAGUAGUUAAGGCUAGUCCUAACCUUGUCUUGUACGUGUGGUUCACAAGGAACUCGAGUUAAGAAUUGUGGAAAAUCUUCUGUUAGUAUAUAGUUUGUUUCAUAAUUGAAAAAUGUUUCUGCAGAGUGUGUUUAUUAUUGUUAUUGUUAUUGUUGUCGUUAUUGUUGUAGUAAUUGUAAUGACAUAAAUGCAUUGGUGAGUUUUCGUUCUAG
rnacentral:misc_RNA from 1 species